rnacentral:rRNA from 1 species
AUUGAACGCUGGCGGCAGGCCUAACACAUGCAAGUCGAGCGGCAGCGGGAAAGUAGCUUGCUACUUUUGCCGGCGAGCGGCGGACGGGUGAGUAAUGCCUGGGGAUCUGCCCAGUCGAGGGGGAUAACAGUUGGAAACGACUGCUAAUACCGCAUACGCCCUACGGGGGAAAGCAGGGGACCUUCGGGCCUUGCGCGAUUGGAUGAACCCAGGUGGGAUUAGCUAGUUGGUGAGGUAAUGGCUCACCAAGGCGACGAUCCCUAGCUGGUCUGAGAGGAUGAUCAGCCACACUGGAACUGAGACACGGUCCAGACUCCUACGGGAGGCAGCAGUGGGGAAUAUUGCACAAUGGGGGAAACCCUGAUGCAGCCAUGCCGCGUGUGUGAAGAAGGCCUUCGGGUUGUAAAGCACUUUCAGCGAGGAGGAAAGGUUGGUAGCGAAUAACUGCCAGCUGUGACGUACUCGCAG